AAGACCUUGCGCUUUUGGAGCGGCCGAUGCCUGAUUAGCUUGUUGGUAAGGUAAAAGCUUACCAAGGCUUCGAUCAGUAGCUGGUCUGAGAGGACGGCCAGCCACACUGGGACUGAGACACGGCCCAGACUCCUACGGGAGGCAGCAGUGGGGAAUUUUGGACAAUGGGGGCAACCCUGAUCCAGCCAUGCCGCGUGGGUGAAGAAGGCCUUCGGGUUGUAAAGCUCUUUCAGCUGGAACGAAACGGUUACGGUUAAUACCCGUGAUUACUGACGGUACCGGAAGAAGAAGCACCGGCUAACUACGUGCCAGCAGCCGCGGUAAUACGUAGGGUGCGAGCGUUAAUCGGAAUUACUGGGCGUAAAGCGUGCGCAGGUGGUUUUGUAAGUCAGAUGUGAAAGCCCCGGGCUCAACCUGGGAACU
rnacentral:rRNA from 1 species